UGAGGCGCGCCGAGUUUGAUCCUGGCUCAGAACGAACGCUGGCGGCGUGGAUAAGGCAUGCAAGUCGAACGCGAAAGUCAUCUUCGGAUGGCGAGUAGAGUGGCAAACGGGUGAGUAACACGUGGGCAACCUUCCUCUAGGUGGGGGACAACCCUCGGAAACGAGGGCUAAUACCGCAUAAUAUCGAGAGUUCGCCUGUUCUUUCGAUCAAACGGUGGGGAUCUUCGGACCUGCCGCCAAGAGAUGGGCCCGCGCACGAUUAGCUUGUUGGUGAGGUAACGGCUCACCAAGGCGCCGAUCGUUAGCCGACCUGAGAGGGUGACCGGCCACACUGGGAUUGAGAUACGGCCCAGACUCCUACGGGGGGCAGCAGUCUAGAAGCUUCGACAAUGGAGGAAACUCUGAUCGAGCGACGCCGCGUGCAUGACGAAGGUCUUCGGAUCGUAAACUGCUUUCGCCAGGGGAGAAAGGCGCAUAGGUCAAUAGCCUGAGCGUCCGACGGUACCUGGUAAAGAAGCUCCGGCUAAGUCCGUG
rnacentral:rRNA from 1 species